CCCUUUGACCCGCACCUUCCGGGUUUGCCCGGCUCACACACGGCCUGUGAACCCAAGAAGCUGGUGUAGUCAUUGCUCUCCGCACCAGCCGCCCGGGAGAGUGGGAGUUCCAGGCCAGCCUGGUCCGCGGAGUGCAGUGUGACCAGCUGCCUCAAGUUCCUGCUAUCCCAGCUUGGUGAACUCGAAUUUUGAGCCAAAUAAACCCAUCUUCCCCCAA